rnacentral:rRNA from 1 species
GAGUUUGAUCAUGGCUCAGAUUGAACGCUGGCGGCAUGCCUUACACAUGCAAGUCGAACGGCAGCACGGACUUCGGUCUGGUGGCGAGUGGCGAACGGGUGAGUAAUACAUCGGAACGUGUCCUGUAGUGGGGGAUAGCCCGGCGAAAGCCGGAUUAAUACCGCAUACGCUCUACGGAGGAAAGGGGGGGAUCUUAGGACCUCUCGCUACAGGGGCGGCCGAUGGCAGAUUAGCUAGUUGGUGGGGUAAAGGCCUACCAAGGCGACGAUCUGUAGCUGGUCUGAGAGGACGACCAGCCACACUGGGACUGAGACACGGCCCAGACUCCUACGGGAGGCAGCAGUGGGGAAUUUUGGACAAUGGGGGCAACCCUGAUCCAGCAAUGCCGCGUGUGUGAAGAAGGCCUUCGGGUUGUAAAGCACUUUUGUCCGGAAAGAAAACCACCUGGCUAAUAUCCGGGUGGGAUGACGGUACCGUAAGAAUAAGCACCGGCUAACUACGUGCCAGCAGCCGCGGUAAUACG